AAGCUAUCUAAUUCCAUUAAAGGUAGCUGUUUUGGGGGCCUUUUUAAACAUUCUUCCUUUUGCUCUGGAUUCUUGAGAUCUUACAACAUCUUUUCACAAAACUAGUUGGCUUUGACAGUCAGGGUUACAUUAGGCUUGUCUAACAAGUGGGAAAAUAUACUUAAGGCCUCACAGAGGACAGUCACAGGUCUGUUGCAGUCCAGUGGGACUCACAUCCAGCGUGCUGGGGGCAGAGCUGAAGGAAAGCCAGGACAGAAUGGGAUGCAUUGCUUCUGCAUCAACCCACGCCCCAAAAAUGGAUCAGAGAGAGGCUGGCUGGUAACCAUUGUAAGAUUGACUCAGGAAGCCUACCCUCACUCCAGCAAAAUUCCACCUUUGAACUUCAUAUCUGCAAGGGCUGAUUCCUCCAGUAAAACCUGUGCUUCCAGAUGAAUACAGUUUGCAGCCCCAGAUGCCCAGGAAUUGCAGAAGACCAGAAGGACUCUAAAGAAGAAAUUGUGACAGACUUUUUACAAAGCUGGUAAAUAUUAGGCUAAUGUGCUGGGAAGUUCAGGUGUAUCAAAAAUGGGGAUGAUGUAGCUUACAACAUAGAAAGCUCUUGGCUGAUGCCAAAAAAAGUGUUUUAGUAACAGCUUCAACUUGACCUAAAGAGUCAGGAACAUGCCACCCUCUUCCUAAGGGAAAAGCUUUAUUGAUGAAGUUGGGAACCUGACAGGAGUACAUUAAGUGGAGCUAAGCACCUUCUAGGCUCAUAAAUGAUAGCAGGAUUGGAAGGUUUACUAUGUAAGUAUCCGAAUUAACUAAUCACAGUAAAGCGUGCGACAUUUCCAGUAGUACAAAUUAGUUGGCUAAGGCUGCUUUAAGGUAAUGUGGGUUGAUGGAAUUUCUUAACCAUUGCACUUGGAAGGAUACA